rnacentral:lncRNA from 1 species
GUGUGAUGUUGUAAUAUAUGUGAGAUAUAUUAGAACUGUUAGUGCAAACAGUGUGGGCUACCAUUGUGGGACAUUUUCUGAUUGCAACUGACGUGCCCUUACUGUAUAUUUUGUAUGCUUCAUUUACUACUUUGCUUGGUCGGCCUAUGAUACCUAUAGAGUACAAGUGGACCGUACUCAUGCCUACUGCGCCCUUUCGG